rnacentral:rRNA from 1 species
AGUGGCGGACGGGUGAGUAACGCGUGAGAAUCUGCCUUGGGGUCGGGGACAACCACUGGAAACGGUGGCUAAUACCGGAUAAGCCGAUUGGUGAAAGAUUUAUUGCCCGAAGAGGAGCUCGCGUCUGAUUAGCUAGUUGGUGAGGUAAGAGCUCACCAAGGCAGCGAUCAGUAGCUGGUCUGAGAGGACGAUCAGCCACACUGGGACUGAGACACGGCCCAGACUCCUACGGGAGGCAGCAGUGGGGAAUUUUCCGCAAUGGGCGAAAGCCUGACGGAGCAAGACCGCGUGAGGGAGGAAGGCUCUUGGGUUGUAAACCUCUUUUCUCAGGGAAGAAGCUCUGACGGUACCUGAGGAAUCAGCCUCGGCUAACUCCGUGCCAGCAGCCGCGGUAAUACGGAGGAGGCAAGCGUUAUCCGGAAUUAUUGGGCGUAAAGCGUUCGCAGGUGGCGAUUCAAGUCUGCUGUCAAAGCACGGGGCUUAACUCCGUAAAGGCAGUGGAAACUGAAUAGCUAGAGUGCCGUAGGGGUAGAGGGAAUUCCCGGUGUAGCGGUGAAAUGCGUAGAGAUCGGGAAGAACAUCGGUGGCCAAAGCGCUCUACUGGACGGCAACUGACACUCAGGGACGAAAGCUAGGGGAGCGAAUGGGAUUAGAUACCCC